rnacentral:rRNA from 1 species
GCUCGAGUGGCGAACGGGUGAGUAACACGUGAGUAACCUGCCCUUGACUUUGGGAUAACUUCAGGAAACUGGGGCUAAUACCGGAUAGGAGCUCCUGCUGCAUGGUGGGGGUUGGAAAGUUUCGGCGGUUGGGGAUGGACUCGCGGCUUAUCAGCUUGUUGGUGGGGUAGUGGCUUACCAAGGCGGCGACGGGUAGCCGGCCUGAGAGGGUGGACGGCCACAUUGGGACUGAGAUACGGCCCAG